CAAAAUGGGAAUAUGUGUUUAUAUAUAUUUAUGUAUAUAUUUUUUUCUUUUUUUCUUUUGAUUCUGAGGUGAAAUAUGACACCAGCAUUUCUUUGUGAGAUUCACCCCUACAUGCUGUAUACCUACAUCCUCAUUGCCAUCAAAAGGGGGAGAGUGACAAUGGAUCGGAGCAGACGCUUUGCCCGCAACACUCACCCAUGCUGCUAUUUUUGUCAUGUUCCCACAGGCUAUGUAUUUCUGACAAGAAAAACCUAAGGAAGUGACAUCAUUUUGGAGGGAAGCAAGAACACAAGCAUCAGUAAGUGGGUAAAGGCUAGAAGGGAUACGUAUGGCGCUACUGGGCAUGCGCACAUUAAUAC